AUGCAAGUCGAACGCGAAAGUCCCGCAAGGGAUCAGUAGAGUGGCAAACGGGUGAGUAACACGUGGGUGACCUGCCUUCGAGUGGGGGAUAACGUCCCGAAAGGGACGCUAAUACCGCAUAACAUCCUGUCUUUUAAGAGAUGGACAUCAAAGCCUGGGACCGCAAGGCCAGGCGCUUGAAGAGGGGCCCGCGUCCGAUUAGCUAGUUGGUGGGGUAAUGGCUCACCAAGGCAACGAUCGGUAGCCGGCCUGAGAGGGCGGACGGCCACACUGGGACUGAGACACGGCCCAGACUCCUACGGGAGGCAGCAGUGGGGAAUUGUUCGCAAUGGGCGCAAGCCUGACGACGCAACGCCGCGUGGAGGAUGAAGAUCUUCGGGUCGUAAACUCCUUUCGAUCGAGACGAAUGGCCUCUGGGUGAACAAUCCAGGGGAAUGACGGUACCGAGAGAAGAAGCCCCGGCUAACUCCGUGCCAGCAGCCGCGGUAAUACGGGGGGGGCAAGCGUUGUUCGGAAUUACUGGGCGUAAAGGGCUCGUAGGUGGCCAACUAAGUCAGACGUGAAAUCCCUCGGCUUAACCGAGGAACUGCGUCUGAUACUGGAUGGCUUGAGUUUGGGAGAGGGACGCGGAAUUCCAGGUGUAGCGGUGAAAUGCGUAGAUAUCUGGAGGAACACCGGUGGCGAAGGCGGCGUCCUGGACCAAUACUGACACUGAACAGCGAAAGCCAGGGGAGCAAACGGGAUUAGAUACCCCGGUAGUCCUGGCCCUAAACGAUGAAUGCUUGGUGUGGCGGGUAUCGAUCCCUGCCGUGCCGAAGCUAACGCAUUAAGCAUUCCGC
rnacentral:rRNA from 1 species